GACGAACGCUGGCGGCGUGCCUAACACAUGCAAGUCGAGCGGGGUUGAAGCGAGGGGUAACUCGAGUUUCUACCUAGCGGCGGACGGGUGAGUAACGCGUGGGCAACCUGCCUCAAGGACUGGGAUAACAGCUCGAAAGGGCUGCUAAUACCGGAUAAGCCUAUGGCCUCGCAUGGGGCCAUGAGCAAAGGGGAAACCCGCCUUGAGAUGGGCCCGCGUCCCAUCAGCUAGUUGGUGAGGUGAAGGCUCACCAAGGCGACGACGGGUAGCCGGCCUGAGAGGGUGACCGGCCACACUGGGACUGAGACACGGCCCAGACUCCUACGGGGGCAGCAGUGGGGAAUCUUGCACAAUGGGCGAAAGCCUGAUGCAGCGACGCCGCGUGAGCGAAGAAGGCCUUCGGUUGUAAAGCUCUGUCUGGAGGGACGAAGGAAGUGACGGUACCUCCGGAGGAAGGCCACGGCUAACUACGUGCCAGCAGCCGCGGUAAACGUAGACGUG
rnacentral:rRNA from 1 species